GGGGCUGUAGCGCAGUUGGUUAGCGCGUCUCCCUGUCACGGAGAAGGUCGGGGGUUCGAAUCCCCCCAGCCUCG
rfam:Microgenomates (Woesebacteria) bacterium GW2011_GWA2_44_33 TW60_C0008, whole genome shotgun sequence.